rnacentral:tRNA from 1 species
GGCGGCGUAGCUCAGUGGUAGAGCAGCAGACUCAUAAGCUGUUGGUCGGGGGUUCAAGUCCCUCCGCCGCUA